rnacentral:rRNA from 1 species
CGGGAGGCAGCAGUAGGGAAUCUUCCGCAAUGGGCGAAAGCCUGACGGAGCAACGCCGCGUGAGUGAUGAAGGUCUUCGGAUCGUAAAACUCUGUUAUUAGGGAAGAACAAACGUGUAAGUAACUGUGCACGUCUUGACGGUACCUAAUCAGAAAGCCACGGCUAACUACGUGCCAGCAGCCGCGGUAAUACGUAGGUGACAAGCGUUAUCCGGAAUUAUUGGGCGUAAAGCGCGCGUAGGCGGUUUUUUAAGUCUGAUGUGAAAGCCCACGGCUCAACCGUGGAGGGUCAUUGGAAACUGGAAAACUUGAGUGCAGAAGAGGAAAGUGGAAUUCCAUGUGUAGCGGUGAAAUGCGCAGAGAUAUGGAGGAACACCAGUGGCGAAGGCGACUUUCUGGUCUGUAACUGACGCUGAUGUGCGAAAGCGUGGGGAUCAUACAGGAUUAGAUACCCUGGUAGUCCACGCCGUAUACGAUGAGUGCUAAGUGUUAGGGGGUUCCGCCCCUUAGUGCUGCAGCUAACGCAUUAAGCACUCCGCCUGGGGAGUACGACCGC